CUUCUCUAUGGUUUCUGCAAGUUGUACUUUCAAUUUCACUAUCAAAUACCAAUGGUCCCAAUGGGUUUUUUCUAUUCAUAAACCAAAAGAACCUACCAGAAGUAAACAGAAGAAAAAAAAUUAGAAUGUAAAAACUAAACUAAAAACAAAAAAAUAAAAUAAAAUAAAAAUGGCUAAAUUAAUAAAAAUAAAGUGUUCCUAAUAGUUUAG
rnacentral:lncRNA from 1 species